rnacentral:lncRNA from 1 species
GGACAGGAGCAAACGGAUCCGUCUCCGGGCCAAAUCCCUGGCGGGCAGAGAGGACAGGCCGUCGCUUGCAUCUCCACCCUGUGACCUUCGCUGAAGAAUCUGUGGGCUGAUCGGCGGUUCCAAAAUGGUCGCUGGGUAAACAAAAUGGCCACCCGAUGUGUUUUCGCGCCGAUUCCUCGCUUACCGGGCAGCAAAAAUGGUGGCCGUAUGGAGGAUUUUCGCUUUAAGGAGGUGGCUGUGCAUUUCAACCAGGGGAGCAAGGGUGUGCUGGACUGAGGCCAGACAGCUCCGCAGAAAGACGUCAUGCUGGAGGCUGAAGGGAACGAGGCCUCUCCAGGUAAGGGAUCCCUUUGCAUUUCAUAUUUGUAUUUUUCACCGCACUGUUGACCUGGUUGGAAGUGGGCAACCAGAUCCUAUGCCUUCGAAGCUGCCUUGCGCCUGGCUUGAGCUUUGCUGGUACCAUUUU